ACUUUACUGUGCAUUUCCUCUCCACAGACCUAGUCAGCCUGAUCACAGCAUUGUCAUUAGAAUCACUUCUGUCAGCACUAAUCUCCUUUAAGGUGCACUGGAAACUAAGGAUUAUUAUUUGCAUCAGGCUGAAUUAGAUUUUGCAGUUAUGACUUACUACUCAAGAACAUAUUCUUGCAGUUCUGCACUCUUUCAGACUCCACUGGAAUUCCCGAUUCAGAACCCUGUAACCAAUUAUCAGCAUUCAAAUGUGUCUUAUGAAUUUCCAGUAAAUCGAUGUCAGCAUAAAUAUGAAAAUCCAUAUCAGGAACUGGCUAUUCAGGAAGUACCAUCAGUCACCAA